rnacentral:rRNA from 1 species
GGGUUGUGAGGUUAAGCGACUAAGCGUACACGGUGGAUGCCCUGGCAGUCAGAGGCGAUGAAGGGCGUGCUAAUCUGCGAUAAGCGCCGGUAAGGUGAUAUGAACCGUUAUAACCGGCGAUACCCGAAUGGGGAAACCCAGUGUGACUCGUCACACUAUCAUUAACUGAAUCCAUAGGUUAAUGAGGCGAACCGGGGGAACUGAAACAUCUAAGUACCCCGAGGAAAAGAAAUCAACCGAGAUUCCCCCAGUAGCGGCGAGCGAACGGGGAGGAGCCCAGAGCCUGAAUCAGCAUGUGUGUUAGUGGAAGCGUCUGGAAAGGCGCGCGAUACAGGGUGACAGCCCCGUACACAAAAGCGCAUGUGUUGUGAGCUCGAUGAGUAGGGCGGGACACGUGGUAUCCUGUCUGAAUAUGGGGGGACCAUCCUCCAAGGCUAAAUACUCCUGACUGACCGAUAGUGAACCAGUACCGUGAGGGAAAGGCGAAAAGAACCCCGGCGAGGGGAGUGAAAAAGAACCUGAAACCGUGUACGUACAAGCAGUGGGAGCCCCACCACUAAGCCAGUGGUGGAUUCCACAUACGCAUCCUUUGCUGAGGAUACGGUUAACGGAGCGAAAGCGACGUUCAACCUCAAAAGAAGCAGAGGGGGCUUAGUGGUGGGGUGACUGCGUACCUUUUGUAUAAUGGGUCAGCGACUUAUAUUCUGUAGCAAGGUUAACCGUAUAGGGGAGCCGGAGGGAAACCGAGUCUUAACCGGGCGUUAAGUUGCAGGGUAUAGACCCGAAACCCGGUGAUCUAGCCAUGGGCAGGUUGAAGGUUGGGUAACACUAACUGGAGGACCGAACCGACUAAUGUUGAAAAAUUAGCGGAUGACCUGUGGCUGGGGGUGAAAGGCCAAUCAAACCGGGAGAUAGCUGGUUCUCCCCGAAAGCUAUUUAGGUAGCGCCUCGUGAAUUCAUCUCCGGGGGUAGAGCACUGUUUCGGCUAGGGGGCCAUCCCGGCUUACCAACCCGAUGCAAACUGCGAAUACCGGAGAAUGUUAUCACGGGAGACACACGGCGGGUGCUAACGUCCGUCGUGAAGAGGGAAACAACCCAGACCGCCAGCUAAGGUCCCAAAGUCAUGGUUAAGUGGGAAACGAUGUGGGAAGGCCCAGACAGCCAGGAUGUUGGCUUAGAAGCAGCCAUCAUUUAAAGAAAGCGUAAUAGCUCACUGGUCGAGUCGGCCUGCGCGGAAGAUGUAACGGGGCUAAACCAUGCACCGAAGCUGCGGCAGCGAACGUAUCACCCAAGACAACUUUACGGAGUUGACGAUUGACGGAGCGAAGCGACGUCAAAGCGUUCAUUAAAGUCGAGUUGGCUUAGGGAUACGUUCGUUGGGUAGGGGAGCGUUCUGUAAGCCUGUGAAGGUGGCCUGUGAGGGUUGCUGGAGGUAUCAGAAGUGCGAAUGCUGACAUAAGUAACGAUAAAGCGGGUGAAAAGCCCGCUCGCCGGAAGACCAAGGGUUCCUGUCCAACGUUAAUCGGGGCAGGGUGAGUCGACCCCUAAGGCGAGGCCGAAAGGCGUAGUCGAUGGGAAACGGGUUAAUAUUCCCGUACUUGGUGUUACUGCGAAGGGGGGACGGAGAAGGCUAUGUUGGCCGGGCGACGGUUGUCCCGGUUUAAGCGUGUAGGUGUGUGUUCCAGGUAAAUCCGGUUCACUUUAACACUGAGGCGUGACGACGAGGCACUACGGUGCUGAAGCAACAAAUGCCCUGCUUCCAGGAAAAGCCUCUAAGCAUCAGGUAACAUCAAAUCGUACCCCAAACCGACACAGGUGGUCAGGUAGAGAAUACCAAGGCGCUUGAGAGAACUCGGGUGAAGGAACUAGGCAAAAUGGUGCCGUAACUUCGGGAGAAGGCACGCUGACAUGUAGGUGAAGUGAUUUACUCAUGGAGCUGAAGUCAGUCGAAGAUACCAGCUGGCUGCAACUGUUUAUUAAAAACACAGCACUGUGCAAACACGAAAGUGGACGUAUACGGUGUGACGCCUGCCCGGUGCCGGAAGGUUAAUUGAUGGGGUCAGCGCAAGCGAAGCUCCUGAUCGAAGCCCCGGUAAACGGCGGCCGUAACUAUAACGGUCCUAAGGUAGCGAAAUUCCUUGUCGGGUAAGUUCCGACCUGCACGAAUGGCGUAAUGAUGGCCAGGCUGUCUCCACCCGAGACUCAGUGAAAUUGAACUCGCUGUGAAGAUGCAGUGUACCCGCGGCAAGACGGAAAGACCCCGUGAACCUUUACUAUAGCUUGACACUGAACAUUGAGCCUUGAUGUGUAGGAUAGGUGGGAGGCUUUGAAGUGUGGACGCCAGUCUGCAUGGAGCCGACCUUGAAAUACCACCCUUUAAUGUUUGAUGUUCUAACGUGGACCCGUGAUCCGGGUUGCGGACAGUGUCUGGUGGGUAGUUUGACUGGGGCGGUCUCCUCCUAAAGAGUAACGGAGGAGCACGAAGGUUGGCUAAUCCUGGUCGGACAUCAGGAGGUUAGUGCAAUGGCAUAAGCCAGCUUGACUGCGAGCGUGACGGCGCGAGCAGGUGCGAAAGCAGGUCAUAGUGAUCCGGUGGUUCUGAAUGGAAGGGCCAUCGCUCAACGGAUAAAAGGUACUCCGGGGAUAACAGGCUGAUACCGCCCAAGAGUUCAUAUCGACGGCGGUGUUUGGCACCUCGAUGUCGGCUCAUCACAUCCUGGGGCUGAAGUAGGUCCCAAGGGUAUGGCUGUUCGCCAUUUAAAGUGGUACGCGAGCUGGGUUUAGAACGUCGUGAGACAGUUCGGUCCCUAUCUGCCGUGGGCGCUGGAGAACUGAGGGGGGCUGCUCCUAGUACGAGAGGACCGGAGUGGACGCAUCACUGGUGUUCGGGUUGUCAUGCCAAUGGCACUGCCCGGUAGCUAAAUGCGGAAGAGAUAAGUGCUGAAAGCAUCUAAGCACGAAACUUGCCCCGAGAUGAGUUCUCCCUGAGACUUUAAGUCUCCUGAAGGAACGUUGAAGACGACGACGUUGAUAGGCCGGGUGUGUAAGCGCAGCGAUGCGUUGAGCUAACCGGUACUAAUGAACCGUGAGGCUUAACCUUACAACGCCGAAG